rnacentral:rRNA from 1 species
UACGGGGGGGGCAAGCGUUGUUCGGAAUUACUGGGCGUAAAGGGCUUGUAGGUGGCCAACUAAGUCAGACGUGAAAUCCCUCGGCUUAACCGGGGAACUGCGUCUGAUACUGGAUGGCUUGAGUUUGGGAGAGGGAUGCGGAAUUCCAGGUGUAGCGGUGAAAUGCGUAGAUAUCUGGAGGAACACCGGUGGCGAAGGCGGCAUCCUGGACCAACACUGACGCUGAGUGAGCGAAAGCCAGGGGAGCAAACGGG